CGCAGCCGGAAGGCUGAGGUUCCUGGGAGGUGAGGCUGGCUUGCCUACUUGAUUUAUGUGGCCAAAGGGUAGCGCCCCCGCUGCAAAGGUCCAGUGAAGAAUCCCCUUUCCCCCAAGUAAAGCCGAGAGGAGAGGCAGGCGCAGCCGGCGACGCGGCGGAGUCUCCGCAAGAGAGCGAGGGCCUGGUGUGGGACGCACACGCACGCGCGCCUUGGGUCCCCGCAGAGAGGUGUCCCCAGGGCUGUGCCCUGUUCGGUGCCAGGCGUGGUGCCACGGGCCCACCGCCGCCCUGGCGAGGAGUCCGGGCCUUUGCGCGCCACGUUCCAUGGCCGCAUCGCAGCUCCUCCGCACCUCCGCACCUCCCAGGCUCCACAAACACUGCCAGGGAUUUCCAAGAAGACAGCACCCUCUCCCCAUCUCCCCACUUAGCAUCUGGGAAGCCCCGUGGGGGAGGCUGGGACCUCUGGGGGUUCCACACUCUGCUGUUGGCGCUGGCUCCUGGCAGGACCUUCUGCCCUCACGGGGAGGCCUCCUGGUUCCCCGCUGGCUGAGCCCUGCUCCACCUCUCCUAGAAGGGCCCUCCAUGGUGAGCUAUGGGCUGAAAAUAACCUUCUCGAAAUCCGAACAAUCGGAAGGAUCCCCCCAUCUUUUACUCCCAAGUAAGCUCCACGGACUUUCUCAAACCCACCCCAUUAAUGUAGAAAAAAACAGAAUUGGUAUCUGAGCUGCAGAGGUGGGAAAAGUGGACUCCAAGCCCCAGGAAAAUGCUCCUGUGCUUAGCAGCCAAGCCCUUCCCCACAGGUGACUGGUGGUUUGAUCUGAGGACAGAGACCAGCUGUCCCCUCCCAUCCCCAAACUAGGUGGGGUACACCGUCCUCUGCGUUUUCCUGUCUUGGCUCAACACAUAGUCCUGUCCAAAUCCUCCCAACCCGAGCAGUGGAAGGGAAGAAGGAAAGGAGGGUCUAAGGAAGGAAACAAAGACACUGACCAGAGCCCCGAGGCUGGAAACCAUGGCUUUCUGCCAUGUGAGGACACUGCCAUCAGCGACUCUGGAGGAAGCAGCAUUCCAGGAAGCAAAGACCACAUCCUCGACAAACACCACUGACCCUGCCAGUGCUUUGAUCUUUGACUGCCCAGCCUCCGUAACUGUGAGAAAUAAAUCUGUGCUGUUUAUAAAUUA